AGUGAUAGGUCAUGGCCUCGAAUGGCACCACGGGAGGUUCAGCUUGGGCAUCAGGAAAAAAUUGUUCUUGCACCGGCAGAGGCUGCCCAGGGAAUGGUGGGAUCAGCAUCCUGGAGGUGUUCCAGAACCACGGGCAUGUGGCACUGUGAUGGUCUGGGGUUGGAUUUGAGGAUCUGAAAGGUAUUUUCCAACUGCCAUGGUCCUGUGAUUGUAUUCCUGUGUUUUCUUCUGGAAGGUCGGUACUUAGUCUGGAAACAAUUUUUGCUAGCUCCACACCCAGAUCCCUUUGGAAGCAAGCGAUAGAUUCUGAUUUCUGACAGUGAAGAUGGCCUGCUGCUGAUUCAGACAGGCCAUAUCCUGUGCCCCUGCUGAUCACUGAAUGGCCUCACAGCUGGUCCAAAGGCAUUUUCCUAUGGUGGGUUAUGACAUUUCACAUGGAUUUCUCUUCCUGUGUUGCACACAUGGUCUGAAAUGAGGACCCAGCCAUGCAGACACAGUGCAGCAGCUUGCAGGCCAUGUGCUCACCUAUACCCUGCAGCCAGAAAAAAUUCAAGUCGCAGAGGAGAGCUAAGAAGGCAAAGUCCUUGAGCUGCUCUUGGCUCCAAAAGGGGGUCAAUAAUCAUCCACGUGUGCACAGCACUGCAGGAGGAGGCUGUGCAUUACUAAUUAUCUCUACCUCUUCUAAGCUGGAUAAAAGCUUUGCAGCCAGCGUUCUGAGUGGUGAUGGAAAUAGGAAUCUGCUGAUGCCUUUUGGGCUGGCUGAGGGAAAUCAGCACUGCUGCAGGAAAAAAAACCAAAUACGUUUCAAAUGCUGAUUGGAUUUCCUCACAGAAAUGACUAAAUCUCCUCAAUGGACAGGUAUUGACUUCUCUCUCUGGAUAUCAGAAAGUGCUGCUCCCAACCCUGCGAGCAGCAGCCAUGCUGGGAGCAGCCACCAGGAGCAGUGACUGUUGGCUUCCGCCUGGACAGAGAAAAAGGAGGGAUCGUAAAUCAUAGAAUGGCUUGGGUUGGAAGGGACCUCAAGGAUCAUGAAGCUCCAAC